rnacentral:rRNA from 1 species
GACGGAGGAUGCAAGUGUUAUCCGGAAUCACUGGGCGUAAAGCGUCUGUAGGUGGUUUAAUAAGUCAACUGUUAAAUCUUGAGGCUCAACUUCAAAAUCGCAGUCGAAACUAUUAGACUAGAGUAUAGUAGGGGUAAAGGGAAUUUCCAGUGGAGCGGUGAAAUGCGUAGAGAUUGGAAAGAACACCAAUGGCGAAAGCACUUUACUGGGCCGACACUGACACUGAGAGACGAAAGCUAGGGGAGCGAAUGGG